CAACUCUGGAGUCCUCUGAGAGAGCCACCAAGGAGGAGCAGGGGAGCGACGGCCGGGGCAGAAGUUGAGACCACCCAGCAGAGGAGCUAGGCCAGUCCAUCUGCAUUUGUCACCCAAGAACUCUUACCAUGAAGACCCUCCUACUGUUGGCAGUGAUCAUGAUCUUUGCUGCUGUGUCACUCAUGACUGUUGCUACAAACGUCUGGAGAAACGUGGAUGUGGCACCAAAUUUCUGAGCUACAAGUUUAGCAACUCGGGGAGCAGAAUCACCUGUGCAAAACAGGACUCCUGCAGAAGUCAACUGUGUGAGUGUGAUAAGGCUGCUGCCACCUGUUUUGCUAGAAACAAGACGACCUACAAUAAAAAGUACCAGUACUAUUCCAAUAAACACUGCAGAGGGAGCACCCCUCGUUGCUGAGUCCCCUCUUCCCUGGAAACCUUCCACCCAGUGCUGAAUUUCCCUCUCUCAUACCCUCCCUCCCUACCCUAACCAAGUUCCUUGGCCAUGCAGAAAGCAUCCCUCACCCAUCCUAGAGGCCAGGCAGGAGCCCUUCUAUACCCACCCAGAAUGAGACAUCCAGCAGAUUUCCAGCCUUCUACUGCUCUCCUCCACCUCAACUCCGUGCUUAACCAAAGAAGCUGUACUCCGGGGGGUCUCUUCUGAAUAAAGCAAUUAGC
rnacentral:lncRNA from 1 species